AUGAGAGAACGCUACCCCGCCCUCCGCCUGUUCCCCGCGCUGCACGCAGAGAGGGUGGUAGCCUACUCUGGUCAGAGGAACCUGAAGGAUCUGGUGCAGUUUCUGGAGAAAGAGAUGGAAAGAGCCAAGAAGGACAGGGCCCAAGAGGAGGAGGAUC